rnacentral:lncRNA from 1 species
CGGGAAGCAAACGCGCGUCCAGGCCUACAACAAUUCAGUUCCGGCCCAAGACGAGGGACAAGCCGUCUCUGGGGGCAAGUACUUCCAGCACGCUGGUUUCUGAGCCAGGAAAAUGUUUGU